rnacentral:rRNA from 1 species
UGGGGGAUUUUGCACAAUGGGCGCAAGCCUGAUGCAGCGACGCCGCGUGAGGGAUGAAGGCCUUCGGGUUGUAAACCUCUUUCGCUGGGUUGAAAGGCCAUGCUUUGGGUGUGGUUGAUUUGAACUGGUAAAGAAGUACCGGCUAACUACGUGCCAGCAACCGCGGUAAUACGUAGGGUACUAGCGUUGUCCGGAUUUAUUGGGCGUAAAGGGCUUGUAGGUGGUUUGUCGCGUCUGUCGUGAAAUCCUGUGGCUUAACCAUGGGCUUGCGGUGGGUACGGGCAGGCUUGAGUGCGGUAGGAGAGACUGGAAUUCCUGGAGUAGCGGUGGAAUGCGCAGAUAUCAGGAGGAACACCGGUGGAGAAGGCGGGUCUCUGGGCCAUUACUGACACUGAGGAGCGAAAGCGUGGGGAGCGAACAGG